CAAAAAAAAGUUUAGAGACCAGUACAACACUUCGUCUUUUUUCCCCAAAUUUCCAAGCACACAAAAACCCUAGCUCCAUUCAAAUCCCUCUCUUCCCACUCCUUCCCCAUUCGUCGCGUCGCUCAUCUCGUAACCAGUCAACAUCCCCACGACCAUCACUUCUCUUUCGUGCCUUGAAUCUCGUCUUUGCUAAUCAUUUCACAGGAUCUAUUCGUUAUGAAGGUCAUCCAUUCGGCAUUACUUUUGGCUCUUAACCGUGUUAUCAUAUAUUAUAGCUGGUAGUGGACGUGUCCCUCCUCCGGGAGAUGUAUCAGCAGGUCAUGGGCGUGGGCGCACAUCAGACUCCGGACGUGGACAUGGGCGGGCAUCAAACUCCGGUGGUGGACGUGGGCGUGCAUCGGACUUUGGUGGUGGUCGUAGGAGGGCAUCGAACUCCGGUACUAGACGUGGGCGGUCAUCGGACUCCGGUGCUGGACGUGGGCGUGCAUCGGACUCCGGUGCGGGACGUGGGCGGGCAUCGAACUCUGGUACAAAACUCGAUAUAGGUUGGAUCAAGCAAAUGAUGAGUUCAUUAGAGAAGGAUUUGAGAAUGUGUUAAAGCGUCGUUUUCCAGACAUAAUGUCGGGUCACCGAGAAGAAUCAACAAAGAAGGCAAGGAAUGCUGGGCAUGUUUUCCCGGAGAAUGAAUAUGAUUUUGCCGCAAUGUGUAAGUAUCCGCCGCGCUUCGUGCACGAGGACAUAUGGCAUGAGUUAUGUAUGGGUUGGAACACAGAUGCAUAGCAUAAGAAGUCCGAGAUAGGUAAACGCAACCGCAAGAAAGCCGAUUCUGACGGUGUGAUUUCCCGACAUACAGGCGGGUCUAGGGGCUAUGAUGAGCACCGCAUCAUCUUGGAACGGACAUUGGGUCGGUCACCCACUAUUAAGGAACUCUUCCUUGCAACCCACCUCACCAAAGAAUCCAAGAAAAAGUUUUGGGCAGGGAUGUAUGAUGAAAGCUUGGAGGGGGCAGAUUUUUGUACUGAGCUAUCGAAAAAAGUAUAUGAGGCAUAUACGAGAUACAUGAUUGAAAAGUACGGGGAAGACAUCACUCAGCAUCCGGUGGGUGAUGCUGACUUGUGGGAGCGUGCGCAAGGAGGGAACAGAUUUGGGAUCGGGUCUUUGGAUCUUAGUUUUGUCGUUACCGGCACAACGUCUUCGUCAUCCGGGUCUGCCUCCUAUGCUGACUACCAGCUCUCGCGAGAGGAGGUGCGGAACUUGCAAUCCCAGGUGGAAAGGUUAAAUAAACGAUUCGAAGAGGCGUCACAAUCCCACUUGAAAUGUUAUAAAACCGAGUCGAAGAGAUGCAACAACAAAUGAGAGAAGAUAUGCAACGAUAAAUGGCCGAGUUUAUGAAACAAUUUGGUAAUCCUAGCAAUCCUCCACUAUAGUUUAGUUUUUGUUUGUUGUCUUUUGCGGAUGAACUUGUAAUUUGAGAACCGCGUCAUAUUGUGGUUGAACUUUUAGUUGGAAAACCAUAUUGUAUUUUGUGGACCAACUUUAGUUUAUAAUGGUAUUGUAUUUUGGAUUUU